rnacentral:lncRNA from 1 species
AAAAACAUGGCAUCACAUUGCAUCCAUACAUAUACCAUUGCAUUUUCAUUCAUCAGUAUGCAUUGCAUGCCACUCAAAAAGAAAAAAAUAAGAAAAAACUCAUACAUCUUUUGUCCAUAACCAACAACUUAUUUCCUGACACCUACGUCAGACUUGAAGCAGCUUUCAAAGAUCAUGGACCCUGGGAAACAAAACCAAUUUGCGUCAAGAGAAGAUGUUG